GACAGAGGGGGCAAGCGUUGCUCGGAAUCACUGGGCGUAAAGGGCGUGUAGGCGGGAACGUGAGUCGGUCGUGAAAGCCUUCGGCUCAACCGAAGAAGGGCGGCCGAUACUGCGUUCCUUGAGGGGUGGAGAGGAGACUGGAAUUCCCGGUGUAGCGGUGAAAUGUGUAGAGAUCGGGAGGAACACCGGUGGCGAAGGCGGGUCUCUGGCCACACCCUGACGCUGAGGCGCGAAAGCGUGGGGAGCAAACGGG
rnacentral:rRNA from 1 species